rnacentral:tRNA from 1 species
GAGGGUGUAGCUCAGUGGUAGAGUGCAUGCUUAGCAUGCAUGAGGUCCUGGGUUCAAUCUCAGUACCUUCA